rnacentral:ncRNA from 2 species
AUUUGUAAAGGCUAUGGGAUUAGCCGUUAACCGCCCGAUAAAGAGCUGAUGAUCCCUACUAUACC